UGUAGGAGUGGAGCUUUCUCAUCAUAUCAGUCUCUAUAGCUGCAGACUCUCUCAAAUGAUCAAUUAUUUUUCUACAUACUAUAUGGGUGCUCGUUCAAGAUUUUGAGAUAAACGAAUUAAGAAAGGCUACAUUUGGAGAGAAGUCUUCAACUACGAAGCUUUUUGGAAUGGGAGGGAUAAGAAAGAAAACAGGUUCAGCCUUCAGGUAUCUCAUUAACAAAUUUUGCUAUUUCGUUUUGUAUCUUUUUUUUUUCUUGAAGAUUGUCUAUCUUGAAUUCUAUAUUAAUGACUUAUAGUUUCAGACUUUCAAAAGAUUUGUCGGCAGUUGUCUGAUUAUGACAUUGCUAAGGUUGGUCGGCAGUUGUCUGAUUAAGACACUGCUAAGGUUGGUCUUGACCACAUCCCUCAGUACGAGACUACCAAAGUUGGUCUCGACCACAUCCCUUGCUUCUCUGCCAUCGUCACCAUCAACUGCCUCGACUUCUACACUGUCCAUAUCUCGCCUUCAACCACCUCUCAGAUCAUCCCCAAUCCAUAUCUCGCCUUCAACCACCUCUCAGAUCAUCCCCAAUCCAUAUCUCGCCUUUAACCACCUCUCAGAUCAUCCCCAACCCAAAGCUAGGAAUCCGAGCCCUUCCUCUUUCCCUCAACCUUCCCACGCCGUUAGUACUGCAUAUAUAAUCUUGUCUUUUUAUUUACAUGCAUUUUGGUUUUUCAGGGUUUUUAUUUUGAGAAUUGUUAUUGGCACUCCAAAAAUAUCAUUCUAUACUCCAAAACUUUUUAUAUUUGAAAAGAAAGUAUAGAAUGAGAUUUUUGAAAUGUCAAUAACACUUCCCUUUAUUUUUACCAUUUAUGUUUAAUUAUCUAGGAAAUCAAUCUCAUUCAUAGAUCCUUAACAUUCACAAAUAUAAAUAAAGAUAUCUUGCAGAUCGAAGCUUCUGUGUGUGUCUCUUUUGUGGAGCUAACUUGCUAUUGUGGAAAAUUUUGUAUUAUAAGCUGUGCGUUUUUUUGUUUAAAUGUGAUAGUUUUGAGCAUCUCUAAGUAUCUCUUUUAUCUUUGUGUGUGUCUCUUUUUCUUUUCAUAGGAUGAUUCUGGUUUGUAUAAAAAUCUGUUGCAACCACAUGCCGUUUCAUCAGUGAAGGAAACAGUCAUAUUUGAGUGUAGCAAAAGUCGUUUACCAUAUCUUGAGAGAUCGCAAAUGUAUCUUACUAGCGCCAGCUAAGUUUGAGUGCAUAAAAUAGUUAUGUUUCUUCUAUUCUUUUAUUUAUUAAAGUUGUGUUUGUAUUUUUAAUGCAUUUGUUACAUCAAAUUCCCUGAAUAUUUUACGUAUAGUUCUCAUGAUUUUGUUUUUUCAGUUUCAAAGAUACUACUAAGUUGUAACUUGUAACCAUCAUAUGAAAUAAUUAUAAGACAUAAAGUCAUGGAGUCAUGGAGGUUGAAAAGGGUUGUAAGUUCUUAUACAACACAUGGAGUCAUGGAGGUUGAAAAGGAUUGUAAGUUCUUAUACAAGACAAAGUCAUGGAGUCAUGGAGGUUGAAAAGGGUUGUUGUUGGGGUGUGUGUGGAGUUGAUGGGUUGAGAAGGAUUGCCGUUGUUUUCAGCCAUGGAAGUGGAAAAAAAAAAUGGUUGUCGUUAGAUAGGGCCUUUAGAAACCAUGUAAAACUUAAUAACCCAGAAUUUCACUUCAGCACUGCGACAUAGUUUGAAAAAUCCUAAUUGCAUAUGGAAUAGAAAGGCCAAGGAAAGAAAUUUCGAUUCCACACGAAUUUACGGUGGGAGAGGAGAGCAGAUGGAUUCUCACGGAAGAAGAAUCUUGCGAGAUAUUGACUACCAUCAACGUCUUUGAAUCUCCUCCCAAAUAAGGCUGUUUAUACAUUUAAUGAGAUGUCAUUCAAUGAUGUAACUACUACAAAUGCUUGAUACCAAAGCAAGCUUUCGAAUGUAUUUCCAUACAAUGCUAUUUGCUAAAUGCUUGAAAGCUUGUUGAAGCUCAUGAAGUUA